rnacentral:rRNA from 1 species
GACGAACGCUGGCGGCGUGCCUAACACAUGCAAGUCGAACGGAACUGUUUUGAAAGAUUUCUUCGGAAUGAAUUUGAUUUAGUUUAGUGGCGGACGGGUGAGUAACGCGUGAGUAACCUGCCUUCAAGAGGGGGAUAACAUUCUGAAAAGAAUGCUAAUACCGCAUGACAUAUCGGAAUCACAUGAUUCUGAUAUCAAAGAUUUUAUCGCUUGAAGAUGGACUCGCGUCCGAUUAGUUAGUUGGUGAGGUAACGGCUCACCAAGACCGCGAUCGGUAGCCGGACUGAGAGGUUGAACGGCCACAUUGGGACUGAGACACGGCCCAGACUCCUACGGGAGGCAGCAGUGGGGGAUAUUGCGCAAUGGGGGCAACCCUGACGCAGCAACGCCGCGUGAAGGAUGAAGGUUUUCGGAUUGUAAACUUCUUUUAUUAAGGACGAAAAAUGACG